rnacentral:rRNA from 1 species
AUACGUAGGUGACAAGCGUUAUCCGGAUUUACUGGGCGUAAAGGGCGUGUAGGCGGUCUUGCAAGUCAGAAGUGAAAUUCCUGAGCUCAACUCGGGCGCUGCUUCUGAAACUGCAGGACUUGAGUGCUGGAGGGGAUAGCGGAAUUCCUAGUGGAGCGGUAAAAUGCGCAGAUAUUAGGAAGAACACCGGUGGCGAAGGCGGCUAUCUGGACAGUAACGGACGCUGAGGCGCGAAAGCGUGGGGAGCAAACAGGAUUAGAUACCCCGGUAGUCCACGCCGUAAACGAUGAAUACUAGGUGUAGGGGGUAUCGACUCCCUCUGUGCCGCAGUUAACACAAUAAGUAUUCCGCCUGGGGAGUACGGCCGGAAGGUUGAAACUCAAAGGAAUUGGCGGGG